rnacentral:rRNA from 1 species
GACGAACGCUGGCGGCGUGCUUAACACAUGCAAGUCGAGCGGUAAGGCCCUUUCGGGGGUACACGAGCGGCGAACGGGUGAGUAACACGUGGGUGACCUGCCCUCAGCUCUGGGAUAAGCCUGGGAAACCGGGUCUAAUACCGGAUAUGACUCCAUGACGCAUGUUGUGGGGUGGAAAGCCUUGUGCGGCUGGGGAUGGGCCCGCGGCCUAUCAGCUUGUUGGUGGGGUGAUGGCCUACCAAGGCGACGACGGGUAGCCGGCCUGAGAGGGCGACCGGCCACACUGGGACUGAGACACGGCCCAGACUCCUACGGGAGGCAGCAGUGGGGAAUCUUGCGCAAUGGGCGAAAGCCUGACGCAGCGACGCCGCGUGAGGGAUGACGGCCUGUGU